rnacentral:tRNA from 1 species
UCAGCUUUAGUAUAAGCUCAUUACGAGGGUCUUGUAAAUCUUAAAUCUAUGUUGCCGCAUAGGAGCUGAG